CGUUAGCUAUUCCUAAAAACUUGGAUUUGAGUUAGAAGAUUUGGUUUAAUGCCCGCAUAUCAUCUUUCUCAUUCCCAUUUGCCAAUCUACGGAUAAAUGAGUCACUGUUCAAAACCGCUCAAAAGCUGAAAGCAGCACUUGCCAAAGAGAUAUAAAAAGAUGAACGACGAAAGAUGCUAUGUUAUGCGUUAGUUACAAGGAAAGGGCAUAGGUUAAUAGUAAAAUGAGUAAAAUGUGGGCUCUAUUAGGGGCUAAUUGAGGUCAAAACAGCGUGCUUCAGCGUGCUUCAUGGUAAGACCUGAGACUUCCUGCUCCUUCCUGAAGAAACAUCAGAUUCAGGAAGAAGAUUCUCUGCAUUUUGAAUGUUCUUACAAUUCAGCAAAGUCCAUAUUGUUGUGUAGUGUAGAUCUCCACCUCGUUGAAAAAAACUAUUCAAGAUAGAAGGACCCAGAAAGAGCAGUUUAAGGAGGAAAUUACAACAGAAAAGGGAAGAGCAAAGGAUUUGGCACUCAUGAAAGACCACCUCUCUCCUGGGUAAUCCGAUUUGCACCAGCUUUGUCGAAACUGAAUAUGCCGUAUGUGAUUGGAUACAACAAGUAAGCCUUCUAUAACCUAGAAGAUGAGUUUCACCAGAACCUGACUGUGCUGGAAUGAUGAUCUCAGACGUUUACCCUCCAGAACUUCGGCACAACUACUUUCAGAUUUAUCCAUUGGAGCAUGCGGCAAUAAUUCAUUCCUUUUUAUUGCUGAGAAAUAUUCCAUGGCAUGGAUGUGCCACUCUUUGUUUGCUUGUUCAGGUGUUAUGGAGCAUUUGGGUUGAAUCUGGUUUCAGGCCAUUACAAAUAAAGCUGCUAUCAACAUUAUGUACAAGUCUUUGUAUGGACAUAUACUUUUAUUUCUCUUGGAUAAAUACCUAGCAGUGAAACGACUAUAUCAGACGAAAGGUGAAUGCUUAACUUUUAAAGAAAUUACCAAACUAUUCCAAAGUGAUUGUACCAUGUGAUUAGCAGUGUAUGAAGGCUUUAGUUCCUCCAAAUCCUUGCCCACACUUGUUACGAUCCUUAUUUAUCUGUAAGCAUGCUGAAAAAUGUGCAUUAUAAAACAGUUUCAAUUUGCAUCUUUUAAAAUAUUGAGCAUCUUUUCAUUUGCUCUCUUGCCAUGUAUUUGUCUUCUUUGGUGAAAUGUCUUUUCAAAUAUUUUGCUCAUUUGAUUUAUUGGUUAUAUGCUUUCUUAUUAUUGAGUUUUAGAGUUCUUUAUAUAUGCACAAUACAAUACAGACUUGUGAUAAAAGUGAGUGGCUUGUCCUUUUAGUCUCAUAAUAGUGUCCUUUAAAGAGCAAAUAAUUUGGGGGGCUCCUGGGUGGCUCAGUCGGUUAAGUGUCCAACUUCGGCUCAGGUCAUGAUCUCAAGGUUUGUGGGUUCGAG